AUUGAACGCUGGCGGCAGGCCUAACACAUGCAAGUCGAGCGGAUGAAGGGAGCUUGCUCCUGGAUUCAGCGGCGGACGGGUGAGUAAUGCCUAUGAAUCUGCCUUGUAGUGGGGGAUAACGUCCGGAAACGGGCGCUAAUACCGCAUACGUCCUGAGGGAGAAAGUAGGGGAGCUUCGGACCUCACGCUAUCAGAGGAGCAUAGGUCGGAUUAGCUAGUGGGUGGGGUAAAGGCCUACCAAGGCGACGAUCCGUAACUGGUCUGAGAGGAUGAUCAGUCACACUGGAACUGAGACACGGUCCCGACUCCUACGGGAGGCAGCAGUGGGGAAUAUUGCAGAAUGGGCGAAAGCCUGAUCCAGCCAUGCCGGGUGUGUGAAGACGGUCUUAGGAUUGUAAAGCACUUUAAGUCGGGAGGAAGGGAAGUAAGUUCACACCUUGCUGUAUUGACGUUACCCACAGAAUAAGCCCCGGCUAACUUCGUG
rnacentral:rRNA from 1 species